rnacentral:tRNA from 1 species
GGAGGCGUCGCAUAGCGGUCUAGUGCACCGUCUUGGAAAGGCGGCAGGGGGAAACCUCUCGUGAGUUCGAAUCUCACCGCCUCCGCCA